rnacentral:rRNA from 1 species
CCUACGGGCGGCAGCAGUGGGGAAUAUUGGACAAUGGGCGAAAGCCUGAUCCAGCCAUGCCGCGUGUGUGAAGAAGGCCUUCGGGUUGUAAAGCACUUUCAGUGGGGAAGAAAGCCUUGGGGCUAAUACCCUCGAGGAAGGACAUCACCCACAGAAGAAGCACCGGCUAACUCCGUGCCAGCAGCCGCGGUAAUACGGAGGGUGCGAGCGUUCAUCGGAAUUACUGGGCGUAAAGCGCGCGUAGGCGGUCUGAUAAGCCGGUUGUGAAAGCCCCGGGCUCAACCUGGGAACGGCAUCCGGAACUGUCAGGCUAGAGUGCAGGAGAGGAAGGUAGAAUUCCCGGUGUAGCGGUGAAAUGCGUAGAGAUCGGGAGGAAUACCAGUGGCGAAGGCGGCCUUCUGGACUGACACUGACGCUGAGGUGCGAAAGCGUGGGUAGCAAACAGGAUUAGAUACCCUGGUAGUC